rnacentral:rRNA from 1 species
CCACGAGUGGUCAUCACGAUUAUUGGGCCUAAAGCGUCCGUAGCUGGUGCGGUGCAUCCCUUGUGAAAUCGUUCGGCUUAACCGAACGGCGCGCAGGGGGCACGGCCGCGCUCGAGACCGGGAGGGGGCAGAAGUAUUCCAUAGGGACCGGUAAAAUGGGAUAAUCUAUGGAGGACUACCGAUGGCGAAGGCAUCUGCCCAGAACGGAUCUGACAGUGAGGGACGAAAGCCAGGGGAGCGAACCG